rnacentral:sRNA from 1 species
CAGGUAAGCGCAGAAGACGUAGAGGCCGCUUGUAAUGAGUGGCAGCCCUCAACGGGUGGGAUCCUCGGUUUCUGGGACCUGAUUUUUU